ACGGUGGUCCCACCUGACCCCAUGCCGAACUCAGAAGUGAAACGCCGUAGCGCCGAUGGUAGUGUGGGGUCUCCCCAUGCGAGAGUAGGGAACUGCCAGGC
rnacentral:rRNA from 1 species